rnacentral:rRNA from 1 species
UACGUAGGGUGCAAGCGUUAAUCGGAAUUACUGGGCGUAAAGCGUGCGCAGGCGGUUAUGCAAGACAGAUGUGAAAUCCCCGGGCUUAACCUGGGAACGCAUUUGUGACUGCAUAGCUGGAGUACGGCAGAGGGGGAUGGAAUUCCGCGUGUAGCAGUGAAAUGCGUAGAUAUGCGGAGGAACACCGAUGGCGAAGGCAAUCCCCUGGGCCUGCACUGACGCUCAUGCACGAAAGCGUGGGGAGCAAACAGG